rnacentral:rRNA from 1 species
CGUCAAGUCAGCAUGGCCUUUAUGUCUGGGGCUACACACGUGCUACAAUGGCCGGUACAAACCGUUGCGAUCCCGCGAGGGGGAGCAAAUCCCAAAAAGCCGACCUCAGUUCGGAUUGGAGUCUGCAAUUCGACUCCAUGAAGGCGGAAUCGCUAGUAAUCGCGGAUCAGCACGCCGCGGUGAAUACGUUCCCGGGCCUU